rnacentral:tRNA from 1 species
GAAAUAAUAAAAUUUGAAUUUCUAAUUCAAUAUUAAAUAUUGUAAAUAUUUUUAUUUCU